AUUGAACGCUGGCGGAAUGCUUUACACAUGCAAGUCGAACGGCAGCACGGGUGCUUGCACCUGGUGGCGAGUGGCGAACGGGUGAGUAAUAUAUCGGAACGUAUCCAAUAAUGGGGGAUAACUAAUCGAAAGGUUGGCUAAUACCGCAUACGCCCUACGGGGGAAAGCUAGGGACCUUCGGGCCUGGCGUUAAUGGAGCGGCCGAUAUCUGAUUAGCUAGUUGGUGGGGUAAUGGCCUACCAAGGCGACGAUCAGUAGCUGGUCUGAGAGGACGACCAGCCACACUGGAACUGAGACACGGUCCAGACUCCUACGGGAGGCAGCAGUGGGGAAUUUUGGACAAUGGGCGCAAGCCUGAUCCAGCCAUUCCGCGUGAGUGAAGAAGGCCUUCGGGUUGUAAAGCUCUUUCGCAAGGGAAGAAAACUUAUCCUCUAACAUAGGAUGAGGUUGACGGUACCUUGAUAAGAAGCACCGGCUAACUACGUGCCAGCCGCCGCGGUAAGAC
rnacentral:rRNA from 1 species